GAGGAACGCUGGCGGCGUGCUUUAACACAUGCAAGUCGAACGAUGAAGCCGUCUUCGGGGGUGGAUUAGUGGCGAACGGGUGAGUAACACGUGAGUAACCUGCCCCCUUCUUUGGGAUAACUGUCGGAAACGGCGGCUAAUACCGAAUAUUCAUAUGCUGUCGCAUUGGUGGUGUGUGGAAAGAUUUUUUGGUAGGGGAUGGGCUCGCGGCCUAUCAGCUUGUUGGUGAGGUAGUGGCUCACCAAGGCUUUGACGGGUAGCCGGCCUGAGAGGGCGACCGGCCACACUGGGACUGAGAUACGGCCCAGACUCCUACGGGAGGCAGCAGUGGGGAAUAUUGCACAAUGGGCGAAAGCCUGAUGCAGCGACGCCGUGUGCGGGAUGAAGGCCUUCGGGUUGUAAACCGCUUUCAACUGUGACGAAUUUGACGGUAGCAGUAGAAGAAGCACCGGCUAACUACGUG
rnacentral:rRNA from 1 species